GAUGAACGCUAGCGGCAGGCCUAAUACAUGCAAGUCGAACGGUGUCUUCGGACAUAGUGGCGCACGGGUGCGUAACACGUAUGCAACCUACCUUACAUUGGGGGAUAGCCUUUCGAAAGGGAGAUUAAUACCGCAUAAGACAGUAACUAGGCAUCUAGUAGCUGUUAAAGAUUUAUCGAUGUAAGCUGGGCAUGCGUCCAAUUAGCUAGUUGGUGAGGUAACGGCUCACCAAGGCAAUGAUUGGUAGGGGAACUGAGAGGUCAAUCCCCCACACUGGCACUGAGAUACGGGCCAGACUCCUACGGGAGGCAGCAGUAGGGAAUAUUGGGCAAUGGACGCAAGUCUGACCCAGCCAUGCCGCGUGCAGGAUGAAGGCGUUAUGCGUUGUAAACUGCUUUUAUACAGGGAGAAACGACUCUUGCGAGAGGCAUUGACGGUACUGUAUGAAUAAGCACCGGCUAACUCCGUGCCAGCCGCCGCGGUAAAAC
rnacentral:rRNA from 1 species